GGAGAACCUUCACAAACAAAAGGAGAUGGUGAGAGAGAGCAAAAUGGAAGCACUAGUAAUGGCACUGAAGAAGAAAGUGGAGCUGUGGUUAAAGACAAGGCUAAGGCCAAAGAAUCGACCAAGAGAAAGAUGGAGGGAGAACCUUCCCAAGCAAAAGGAGAUGGUGAGAGAAAGAAAAAUGGAGGCACGAGUAAUGGAACUGAAGUAGAAAGUAUAACUGUGGUUAAAGACAAGGCUAAGGCUAAAGAAUCGACCAAGAGAAAGACGGAGGGAGAACCUUCCCAAGCAAAAGGAGAUGGCGAGAGAAAGAAAAAUGGAGGCCCUAGUAACGACAAUGAAGAAGAAAGUGGAACUGUGGUUAAAGACAAAGCUAAGGCCAAAGAUUUGACCAAGAGAAAGAUGGAGGGAGAACCUUCCCAAACCAAAGAGGGUGGCAAGAGAAAGAAAAAUGAAGGCAUUAGUAAGGGCACUGAAGAUUAAAGUCUAAUUGAGGUUAAUAUCUGAGUGGGGUAGGUUGGUCUUGAUGUGAAUCGAAAAAGUAGUUGUCAAGACGAAUUACGG
rnacentral:lncRNA from 1 species